CAGAUACUCCCUCCGUUCCAAAAUUAUUGUCUUAGAUUUGUCUACAUACGGAUGUAUCUAUUCACAUUUUAGUGUUAGAUACAUCCGUAUCUAGAUAAAUCUAAGACAAGAAUUUUGGGACGGAGGGAGUACUAG
rnacentral:pre_miRNA from 1 species